ACCCGCUGAAUUUAAGCAUAUCAGUAAGCGGAGGAAAAGAAAACAACAGUGAUUCCCUCAGUAACGGCGAGUGAAGCGGGAAUAGCCCAACGUUGAAUCGCUUACAAAGGUGUUGCUGUCACCCCUCACCGGAUGGCAGCAUUCACUGCGAGCUUCUCGCGAGCGAGUUGUGACGUAAGGACGCAUCGCAUCGGGGCCGUGCGUGUCACCAAAGUUUUCCUGGAAAGGAGCGCCAGAGAGGGUGAUAGCCCCGUGUGUGGUGACAUGAGUGAUGUGUGAGUGCGGUCUCGCUUGUGUGUGAAAGCAUGCAAGUGUGGCGGUGUGUUCCAUGAGUCGGGUUGUUUGGGAUUGCAGCCCAAAGAGGGUGGUAGACUCCACCCAAGGCUAAAUACUGGCACAAAACCGAUAGCGAACAAGUACCGUGAGGGAAAGUUGAAAAGCAUUCCGAAAGGAAGGUUAAACAGGACGUGAAACCGUUAAAGGGGAAGCAGAUGGAUGGGUCGAAUUGCUGCCAUCCCCCUGGAUCAGCGUGUUGCGUGUGUGUGUGUGCACAUGUGAUGCGUGUGGCCAGUGCCGCGCAAGUGGUGCUGGUCAAUGCAGUGGUGCGUGGAGGAGCCGAAACAGUCGUUGUGAGUACGGCCAGGGCAGGUUGGGCAGCUGUUCUGUGGCAUCCACCGUUUAGCUUGCCCCCGUGGUGAGUGUUAAUGCGUGGGUCAUGCUGUGGAGCGGCUGUUACCUGUAGGUGCACGCUUCAAUGCGUGCACAUAUUCGUGCGUGAUGCCUAUGGCUCGCUAGAAUGCUCUACUGUCGUGGUAGGGCCGAGCAGUGACCGCAAUUGGGUGACCUGGUGUUAAGCGUGCGACUCGUGCGUACGUGUACUUAAAAGUUUCGUUUGCGAUGACUGAGAAAUUGCGCCGUUGAGGCGAUGCUGUGUGCUCCCGUACACGUUUGUGCGUGUGCGAAGAGAGUGGAGCGAUAUGCGUGCAAUGUGAGUUACGUCCCCUGGAAGUGGCAUGCUGUGCUGGCGUGCAAGCGUUCAGUGUGGUAUGCCAGCAUCUGGUUGUGUUAGUGCGAUGUGUUGUCGCGCCCGGAUGUGUGAUGGUGGCGAUACCUCGGUCGUGCGGGGCAGCGCCAGUGUGGCGUUUGGCCGUGCAAACGGUCAGACGCUGUGCCGGUGUUGCUGCGACCGUGGGUGAGACCUCCGGCUGGUGGUGUCGUGUGGUUGCAAGACUGUGCGACUCUCCGCGCACAUGUAACAGUGUGCGUUCAUCAGCUUCUAGCUGUGGGAACGGCCCGUAACAGGGCCGGCCUGCGAUUUGUCACUCUUCCAGAGAUCAUUGAGAGCCAUGAGUAAUAUCUGACUUUGUGUGUGCGUCUCGUGCGUACACACGUGGCAUCACGCUUGCGUGUUUAAAAUAGCCAGGAUGUAAAUGUGCGUCAAGACACAGCUAAUUUUCGGCGAGACACCAAUCCAUCCGACCCGUCUUGAAACACGGACCAAGGAGCCUAUCAUGUGCGCGAGUCAAAGGGUGAUUGAAACCCAGAGCAGUGCAACAUAGCACUCGCGUCACCAGCGUUGUUCACACUCUGCUGGUGACGUGCAUGUUGAAACACAAGCGAUAAGGCGUAAUGAAAGUGACCACCAAUUGUGGUGAUGAGAUGGGAUCUAGCCGUGAGACGCGUGUGUGUCUCUGCCUGUGGCAACAUAGGCGGGGCCACACACUGCUGGCUCUCCGGUCGGCGCACCAUCAGCCGGUUCGCACGUAGGUGCGGGCUGAGCGAGAGCGUACAUGCUAGAACCCGAAAGAUGGUGAACUAUUCCUGGGUAGGGCGAAGCCGGAGGAAACUCCGGUGGAGGCUCGCAGCGAUUCUGACGUGCAAAUCGAUCGUCAAACCUGGGUAUAGGGGCGAAAGACUAAUCGAACCAUCUAGUAGCUGGUUCCUUCCGAAAUAUCCCUCAGGAUCGCUGAGACCUGUGCAAAAACAUUCAUUGUGGUGCAUGUGAGGGGACCGUCAUGUGCGUGUCCUCGAUAUCAUGUGUGAGAAUGUGGUAGUUUCAUCGGGUAGAGCUAAUGAUUAGAGUGAUUUGGGAGCUACUGCUCCUGGAACUAUUCUCAAACUGCCAACCGGUGAUAACUGCUGGUGAUUUCUUGUAUGUUCUUUGUCAGUGACUGUGUGUGCGUCCCCGACGCACCACGGUGGUACGGGUCGAUGUGCGCAACGCAAGUUGCGUGUGUCGGCCCGGCUGGCGAAGAGUGGCUUCUACUGGCCAGUGAGACAGCAGCAUUGCUGUGUCACGUGUGCGUUGGCCAGUGUGCCGUGUGCGUGUGUGUCUGUGCGUGUGCCGGCCAGGGCAUCACCCGGUGUCUUGGUCGGUGUGUGUGCAGGUGUGUGCCGUAUGGUGUGCUGGUCUUCUGUGUGCGUGGUGUGGCUUUGUUGCCAGUCGGUGGUGCACAAGUCAGGAGGUGCGAUGAAAGCUUGCGAGGGUGUGUAAACUGUGUGUGGUCCUCACAGCUAGGACUUGGUGCCACCGCGCUCGCUGGUAGCGUACGGAGCUGCGCGCAUUGAUGGAUGCGAGCAUGAGAUGAAUCACCGGCCUUGCCGACGCAGCAGUGGUCAUACACUGUGUGUAGUGCGUCGGCACUGCGUUAGCACGCAGAAAGUGAAUACCAGGGUCUCAAGUGGGCCGUUUCUGGUAAGCAGAACUGGCGAUGCGGGAUGAA
rnacentral:rRNA from 1 species